UAAAUUGAUGGACUGAAAAGCUCGUAGUUGGAUUUCUGGUAGGAGCAGACCGGUCCCCCGCUUGGUGUCGAAUGAUUGGUGUUUAACUUCGUGCAUACGAGGUGCUCUGGUGCUCAGGGGUCUGGUACGCCGAGUCCACGAGGCUACUUUGAUAAAGUUAAAGUGUUCAAAGGGGGCUUACACGUGAAUAUUUCGACUUGGUAAUAACUGUAUAAGACUCCUGUCCUAUUUCGAUGGUUCUCGGUGACGGUGAGUAAUGAUUAAGAGGAACAGAUGGGGGCAUUCGGGAUUAUCACUGUCAGAGGUGAAAUAUCGUUGGAUUUAUGAAAGACUAACUUCAUGCAGAAAGCGUUUGCCACAGGUAUGUUUUCAUUAAUCCAUAACGAAAGUUGGGGGCUCGAAGAUGAUUAGAUACAAUCCUACUCUCAACCAUCAACCAUGCCGACUAUGGCAAUGACGGAUGUUAAUUGUGUGACUCCGCCGACACCUUAUGAGAAAUCAGAGAUUUUGGGUUCCUGGGGGAGCUAUGGUCACAAGGCUGACACCAAGA
rnacentral:rRNA from 1 species